rnacentral:lncRNA from 1 species
UCCAGCACUGAUCCUUUGCACAACUCCAGAGGGCACCAUUCACUCUGAGCUGAAACAUGCCAGGAGCAGUAUAAAUGCUUUGCAUGUGGUCUCUUCUGGAACCCUCAUGAGAGCUCUUUGAGGGAGCUGCUGUUUUUAUUACCAUUUUAAAGAUGAGAAAAUCAAGGGGUAAGAGUCAGCUCCCAAACCGAGGGUCUUUAAUAGCUCAGUGUAGAUGAGACUCAAAGCAGCUGUGUCCAGGACAUUAAAUUAGUUAAAGAGCAGUGCCAAGACUAGAGCCAACACCUCCAUUCUUGUCAUGCUGCCUUUUCGCACGAACAAGCUUCCUCAGAUAAAGAAGAGAAAAUUUAGAACCUUGCUUCACAAGAGCAAGCAGAGAAAGAAAGAAAAUUAGUCCUGACUGGAACAUUUCCGGUGAGUGCUCAACUAUAUUUUGUAUUAGCUACCACUGGUUAAGAGCCAUGGGCCCCUGAGAACUCAAGAUAAAGCAAUUUUCCAGUUUGUGACUUCACUUGCCUCCUAUUCUCUUGCUUUUCGUAGCUCAACUUUCAAUAUGACUUCGAGGCACGUAGAAAUGCCUACCCAGGUGUCCUUCUGGGCUUUCUGCUGGAGCUUUUCAACAAGGAAAGUAUCACCAUCAUCAUUCUCAUCGCCAGCAUCUUUGAGUAAGAACAUCUUUUUAGAAAUGAUGCAAAACUCCAAGGUUAUAAAGAAGAAAAAUUAAAAGUUUAACCACAUAAAAAUAAAAAAGGUAUAUAUGAAAAAAUAAAUCCAUAAACACAAUCCAAAGAUAAAUUCUAAACUGGGCGAAAAAUGUUCUCCAAACAUUUGCCAGAUUAAGGCAUUAUUUUCAUUUACAAAUAUAAACAACCUGCUUUAAAAAAAAGUGCUGAAGAAAAUGAAGAGUCAAAGGAGAAAGAGAAAGAAGGAGAAUAAAAGAAAGAAAUAUGGUGAAAAGAGAUAGUUUUUAGAAAAUUUGAAGGAAAUGACAAGGAAAUGAAUUACACCCAAUUUAUUUUAUAAUCAAUGAACUACAAAUUAAAAGAUCAAU